ACUCUUCUUCUUCUCCUUCUCUCUUUCUCUCCCAUAUAUAUAAAAAAUUAAAUAAAAUUAAAAAAAAUUAACUUCCUUCUUGAAAUAGGGAGUCUGUUCAAUUAGUAGAACCACUCUGAACCUUACACCAAAACCACUCUGAACCUUACACCAAGUCCAGUAGCCCUUAAGUCACGAUGAGUGAUUUCAAUCAUAAAACCCUAAGUCUUAAGGAUUAUUGGUACCCAACU
rnacentral:lncRNA from 1 species